UACGGAGGGUGCGAGCGUUGUCCGGAAUCAUUGGGCGUAAAGCGCGUGUAGGCGGCCAGGUAGGUCCGCUGUGAAAACUCGAGGCUCAACCUCGAGACGUCGGCGGAAACCAUCUGGCUAGAGUCCGGAAGAGGAGAGUGGAAUUCCUGGUGUAGCGGUGAAAUGCGCAGAUAUCGGGAAGAACACCCGUGGCGAAGGCGGUUCUCUGGGACGGUACUGACGCUGAGACGCGAAAGCGUGGGGAGCGAACAGG
rnacentral:rRNA from 1 species